rnacentral:sRNA from 1 species
AACGGUUUGACGUACAGACCCAUUAAAAGCAGUUUAGUAAGGCAAGUCCCUUCAAGAGUUAUCCAUUAGAUACCCCUCGUAGUGCGCAUUUCCUUAACGCUUAAAAAAAUCUGUAAAGCACGCCAUAACGCCGAAAGGCACACUUAUUUUUUAAAAGGUAAGUACACUAUGUCCGGUAAAAUGACUGGUAUCGUAAAAUGGUUCAACGCUGAUAAAGGCUUCGGCUUUAUUACUCCUGAUGACGGUUCUAAAGACGUGUUCGUACACUUCUCCGCUAUUCAGAACGAUGGUUACAAAUCUCUGGACGAAGGUCAGAAAGUUUCCUUCACCAUCGAAAGCGGCGCUAAAGGCCCGGCAGCUGGCAACGUAACCAGCCUGUAAGCUUUAAAAAGCUCAGAAUUUUUGAAUCCCUGCCUGAUGGCGGGUAUUUUUUU